UUUCCGUAGGUGAACCUGCGGAAGGAUCAUUAUUGGAUUUUGAAACUUCAGGCUGCUGCUGACUCUCCUCGGAGGGCAUGUGCACGCUUGUUGUCCAUUAUUUCUCCCACUGUGCACAAAUUGUAGACCUUUCAGUAGGCCUAUGUUGUUUUUCACAAUCUCUGAAUGUAAUAGAAUGGUUUUGAAUCUUGGGAAAUACAAUACAACUUUCAGCAACGGAUCUCUUGGCUCUCGCAUCGAUGAAGAACGCAGG
rnacentral:misc_RNA from 1 species